GACGAACGCUGGCGGCGUGCUUAACACAUGCAAGUCGAACGGAAAGGCCCUGCUCUUGUGGGGUGCUCGAGUGGCGAACGGGUGAGUAACACGUGAGUAUCCUGCCCUUGUCUUUGUGAUAACUUCAGGAAACUGGGGCUAAUACCGGAUAGGAGCUCCUGCUGCAUGGUGGGGGUUGGAAAGUUUCGGCGGUUGGGGAUGGACUCGCGGCUUAUCCGCUUGUUGGUGGGGUAGUGGCUUACCAAGGGUUCGACGGGUAGCCGGCCUGAGAGGGUGACCGGGGACAAGGGGACUAAGGGACGGCGCAGACUCCUACGGGAGGCAGCAGUGGGGAAUAUUGCGCAAUAGGCGGGAGCCUGAUGCAGAAGCGCCGCGUGCGGGAUGACGGCCUUCGGGUGAUGAACCGCUUUCGCCUGUGACGAAGCGUGAGUGACGGUAAUGGGUAAAGAAGCACCGGCUAACUACGUG
rnacentral:rRNA from 1 species